GACGAACGCUGGCGGCGUGCUUAACACAUGCAAGUCGAACGGAAAGGCCCUGUACUUGUGGGGUGCUCGAGUGGCGAACGGGUGAGUAACACGUGAGUAGCCUGCCCUUGACUUUGGGAUAACUUCAGGAAACUGGGGCUAAUAUCGGAUAUGAGCUCCUGCUGCACGGUGGGGGUUGGUAAGUGUCGGCGGUUGGGGAUUGACUCGCGGCCUAUCAGUUUGUUGGUGGGGUAGUGGCUUACCAAGGCUCUGACGGGUAGCCGGCCUGGGAGGGUGACAGGCCACAUUGGGCCUGAGAUAGGGCCAGGACUCAUACGGGAGGCAGCGGUGAGAGAUAUUGCAAAAUGGGCGGAAGCCUGAUGCAGGGACGCCGCGUGCGGGAUGACGGUCUUCGGGUUAUAACCCGCUUUCGAGUGGGAAGAAGCGUAAGUGACGGUAAUGGGUAAAGAAGCACCGGCUAACUACGUG
rnacentral:rRNA from 1 species